UACGUAGGGUGCGAGCGUUGUCCGGAAUUAUUGGGCGUAAAGAGCUCGUAGGCGGCUUGUCGCGUCGGAUGUGAAAGCCCCGGGGCUUAACCCCGGGUCUGCAUUCGAUACGGGCAGGCUAGAGUUCGGUAGGGGAGAUCGGAAUUCCUGGUGUAGCGGUGAAAUGCGCAGAUAUCAGGAGGAACACCGGUGGCGAAGGCGGAUCUCUGGGCCUACUGACUG
rnacentral:rRNA from 1 species